rnacentral:rRNA from 1 species
UGGGGAAUAUUGGACAAUGGGCGCAAGCCUGAUCCAGCCAUGCCGCGUGAGUGAUGAAGGCCCUAGGGUUGUAAAGCUCUUUCACCGGUGAAGAUAAUGACGGUAACCGGAGAAGAAGCCCCGGCUAACUUCGUGCCAGCAGCCGCGGUAAUACGAAGGGGGCUAGCGUUGUUCGGAUUUACUGGGCGUAAAGCGCACGUAGGCGGACUUUUAAGUCAGGGGUGAAAUCCCGGGGCUCAACCCCGGAACUGCCUUUGAUACUGGAAGUCUUGAGUAUGGUAGAGGUGAGUGGAAUUCCGAGUGUAGAGGUGAAAUUCGUAGAUAUUCGGAGGAACACCAGUGGCGAAGGCGGCUCACUGGACCAUUACUGACGCUGAGGUGCGAAAGCGUGGGGAGCAAACAGGAUUAGAUACCCCUGGUAGUCCACGCCGUAAACGAUGAAUGUUAGCCGUUGGGGAGUUUACUCUUCGGUGGCGCAGCUAACGCAUUAAACAUUCCGCCUGGGGAGUACGGUCGCAAGAUUAAAA